AUUGAACGCUGGCGGCGUGCCUAACACAUGCAAGUCGAACGAGUGGCGGACGGGUGAGUAAUAUCUGGGAAACUGCCUGAUGGAGGGGGAUAACUACUGGAAACGGUAGCUUAUUCCGCAUACCAUCAGAUGUGCCCGGAUGGGAUGAGCUUGUUGGUGGGGUAACGGCUCACCAUGGCGAAGAUCCCUAGCUGGUCUGAGAGGAUGACCAGCCACACUGGAACUGAGACACGGUCCAGACGCCUACGGGAGGCAGCAGUGGGGAAUAUUGCACAAUGGGCGCAAGCCUGAUGCAGCAAUGCCGCGUGUAUGAAGAAGGCCUUCGGGUUGUAAAGUACUGUCAGCGGGGAGGCGUUACCCGCAGAAGAAGCACCGGCUAACUCCGUGCCAGCAGCCGCGGUAAUUC
rnacentral:rRNA from 1 species